rnacentral:rRNA from 1 species
GACAACUCUAGAGAUAGAGCCUUCCCCUUCGGGGGACAAAGUGACAGGUGGUGCAUGGUUGUCGUCAGCUCGUGUCGUGAGAUGUUGGGUUAAGUCCCGCAACGAGCGCAACCCUUAAGCUUAGUUGCCAUCAUUAAGUUGGGCACUCUAAGUUGACUGCCGGUGACAAACCGGAGGAAGGUGGGGAUGACGUCAAAUCAUCAUGCCCCUUAUGAUUUGGGCUACACACGUGCUACAAUGGACAAUACAAAGGGCAGCGAAACCGCGAGGUCAAGCAAAUCCCAUA